rnacentral:rRNA from 1 species
GUGUCAGCCGCCGCGGUAAAACGUAGGUUCCGAGCGUUAUCCGGAUUUACUGGGCGUAAAGCGUGUUCAGGCGGCGCAGUCAGUCGGGCAUGAAAUCUCUCGGCUCAACCGGGAGAGGCUGUCCGAAACAGCUGGGCUUGAGGGCAGUAGAGGGUGGUGGAAUUCCGGGUGUAGUGGUGAAAUGCGUAGAUAUCCGGAGGAACACCAGUGGCGAAAGCGGCCACCUGGACUGUACCUGACGCUCAAACACGAAAGCUAGGGGAGCGAACGGGAUUAGAUACCCGUGUAGUCC